UUCACUUUAGUCAACAUUCAUAUCUUCCACGUCACCAGCAAACCAAUCAACCAGUAGACCGGCGACCGGCUACAUCAAUCUCAUCGGUCCAGUUUACCGACCGGCGACCGGAAGCAAACCGGUUCAUACCUCCUAAAACCGGCGGAUCGGGAGGCGACGCCGGUUCACUGUUCACCGGCUUCACCGUCACGUUAUUCUUCCUCGAUCGAUUGAGCAGCUCUACGGCGGCUAGCGCACCGUUUCGAUCUAACUCUUCCGAUACACGAAACCUUCGGUGACGACGGCUCCGUCACCGUCGUACGUCCACCGGAGCCUGAACGCUUAGGAAACAUCCGUACGGUCGCCAGUUUACACUGCCGGCGAUUCGAGUCAACAUGAGUAUUCCGUUGCGUUUUCGGCAAGCCGAUAAUCGCCGGUUUAGAUUUCAAAUUGACAGAAAACUUCUGCGAGUUAGAUCUGGAGUAGCUUGCGGUUUUGGAGUUACCUUUGGUAGAUUCCUUGCGCUCUAAGAAAGCGUUACGGUCGAACCAGUCGAAUUCAGAGUCUUUUGAGAGCCAGAAUGAUUCCGGUGGAACGAAUUCGGAGCAGUAUGGGAUGUCGUGAUCUGCCGGUGCGGUGUUGUGGUUGUUUUCCGUCGUGUUGAGUGGAAUAUUCCGGUCGCCGUUGUCAUCUUCUGAAAUCAUUGUGUCAGAGUGUGUGAGAAAAUUGGGGUUUCAGAGCGUGUGUGUGUGAGGGUGGGAAUCCCGAGGAAGAAAAUGUUUAGAGGGGUUUUAGACUUUUUAUGAGGCCGACCUCCGUAUUAAUCUGUUCUUCUCUAACUGUUUCCUUUCGUACAAGUUUUAAUGCGUGAAGAAUAAGUAAACAAAAAGAUAUUUUAUGUCAGCUAUCUUUUUACCGAUCCCUGUGGUUUCAAUUUUGUUACUAUUUUCGUCAAAUAAACAAAAUUUGGUCAGAUUUUUCAGUUAA
rnacentral:lncRNA from 1 species